AGCUAUCAACCCAAGAGAAAGCUUUCAUGGAGAGUCGAAUUCGGGGGAUGAUAACACGCAAAUGGAGGACGAUGAAUCCAUUCCAGCAACGGUCGGGACAAAGGGUCGUGAUCCCGCGAGGGUGAGCUAACUCCAAAAACCCGUCUUCAGUUCGGAUUGUAGGCUGCAACUCGCCUGCAUGAAGCCGGAAUCGCUAGUAAUCGUCGGUCAGCCAUAUGGCGGUGAAUUCGUUCCCGGGCCUUGUACACACCGCCCGUCACACUAUGGGAGCUGGCCAUGCCCGAAGUCGUUACCUUAACGGCAAGGAGGGGGAUGCCGAAGGCAGGGCUAGUGACUGGAGUGAAGUCGUAACAAGGUAGCCGUACUGGAAGGUGCGGCUG
rnacentral:ncRNA from 1 species